rnacentral:rRNA from 1 species
ACUCCUACGGGAGGCAGCAGUGGGGAAUAUUGCACAAUGGGGGAAACCCUGAUGCAGCCAUGCCGCGUGUGUGAAGAAGGCCUUCGGUUGUAAAGACACUUCUAGUAGGAGGAAGGUAGUGUAGUUAACUACCUGCAUUAUUUGUACGUUACCUACAGAAGAAGCACCGGCUAACUCCGUCGCCAGCAGCCGCGGUAAGUACGGAGGGUGCGAGCGUUAAUACGGAAUUACGUGGGCGUAAAGCGCAUGCGAGGCGGCCUGUUAAGUCAGAUGUGAAAGCCCGGGGUCUUAACCUCGGAAUUGCAUUUGAAACUGGCGAGGCUAGAGUCGUUGUAGGAGGGGUUAGGAAUUUCAGGUGUAG